AAGCGGUGGAUGAUGUGGAUUAAUUCGAUGCAACGCGAAAACCUUACCUACCCUUGACAUGUCCGGAAUCCCGAAGAGAUUUGGGAGUGCUCGCAAGAGAACCGGAACACAGGUGCUGCAUGGCUGUCGUCAGCUCGUGUCGUGAGAUGUUGGGUUAAGUCCCGCAACGAGCGCAACCCUUGCCAUUAGUUGCUACGAAAGGGCACUCUAAUGGGACUGCCGGUGACAAACCGGAGGAGGGUGGGGAUGACGUCAAGUCCUCAUGGCCCUUAUAGGUGGGGCUACACACGUCAUACAAUGGCCGGUACAGAGGGUAGCCAACCCGCGAGGGGGAGCCAAUCCCACAAAGCCGGUCGUAGUCCGGAUCGCAGUCUGCAACUCGACUGCGUGAAGUCGGAAUCGCUAGUAAUCGCGGAUCAGCAUGUCGCGGUGAAUACGUUCCCGGGUCUU
rnacentral:rRNA from 1 species